rnacentral:other from 1 species
GACAUGAUGCUCCUGGGAAGAUGCUCUUGAGAGCUGGGUGGAAGCCAGGAGAGCCCUAGUUAGGCACAAGGGCAAUCAGGCAGCAGCAGCCACCAGGAAGACCUGUCUGUCUCUAAAGCCCACUGGAGAACUUUGCAGCUCUGAAAAGCCUCAGAUCAGAUCUUCUAGUAUCCCCAGAGAGUGUUGGAGGUUGGUUGGGUCUCACACCCUAUGUGACCUCCCACGGGACGGAAACACCCCCAUAUUUAAAAAGAAAUAAGGAGAAAGAGGUGUUUCGUUGUCAGGUGGAGACGAACGGAUGCUCAGCUGCACUACAUCCACCAUG